AGAUUGAACGCUGGCGGCAUGCCUUACACAUGCAAGUCGAACGGUAGAGUAGCAAUACUCGAGAGUGGCGAACGGGUGAGUAAUAUAUCGGAACGUGCCCAGUCGUGGGGGAUAACGUAGAGAAAUUUACGCUAAUACCGCAUACGAUCUACGGAUGAAAGCGGGGGAUUCGCAAGAACCUCGCGCGAUUGGAGCGGCUGAUAUCAGAUUAGGUUGUUGGUGAGGUAAAGCUCACCAAGCCGACGAUCUGUAGCUGGUUGAGAGAACGACCAGCCACACUGGGACUGAGACACGGCCCAGACUCCUACGGGAGCAGCAGUGGGGAAUUUGGACAAGUGGGCGAAA
rnacentral:rRNA from 1 species